rnacentral:rRNA from 1 species
AUGAACGCUGGCGGCGUGCCUAACCCCUGCAAGUCGAGCGGCAGCGAGGGGUGCUUGCACCCUGUCGGCGAGCGGCGGACGGCUGAGUAACGCGUGGGAACGUGCCCCAAAGUGAGGAAUAACUGCCCGAAAGGGUAGCUAAUACCGCAUAUUAUCUUCGGAUCAAAGGAUUUAUCCGCUUUGGGAGCGGCUCGCGUCGGAUUAGGUAGUUGGUGAGGUAAUGGCUCACCAAGCCGACGAUCCGUAGCUGGUCUGAGAGGAUGACCAGCCAGACUGGAACUGAGACACGGUCCAGACUCCUACGGGAGGCAGCAGUGAGGAAUCUUCCACAAUGGGCGAAAGCCUGAUGGAGCAACGCCGCGUGCAGGACGAAGGCCUUCGGGUUGUAAACUGCUUUUAUAAGUGAGGAAUAUGACGGUAACUUAUGAAUAAGGAGCGGCUAACUACGUG